AAUUUAGCACAAGUGGAAUCCCAGGUGCUCCUGCACUCGCCUCCUGCUCCGUCGCAGCACCUGCAGUUCAGGCCCAGUGACUCCAAUACUUGGACAUAUCCUGAGCCAUGCCAUAAUUCAAAAACCAAUCAGAGGGAAGUGGCCUGGCUUCUGCACCCCUAGAGAUGUGAACCUGGACGCAAACCAAGAGCAGCAAGAAGAAGAGGGAAGCUCUUUGCGACUCCAUGCCUCCGGUGUAGCCAGGGAGCUUGCAACUGCAGCGGCUUCUUAUAGUAUUAUAUAGGCGCAGACGUUCGAGGUCUAGGUCCUCUUAGACGCGUUCUUUUUUUCUCGAAGAAGGUGGAUUAAUUGGAUAUCUUUCGUAUUCUUGCAGAAUUUUCAAGUA